rnacentral:rRNA from 1 species
AUUGAACGCUGGCGGCAGGCCUAACACAUGCAAGUCGAGCGAGAGGCGGACGGGUGAGUAAUGUAUGGGGACUGCCCGAUAGAGGGGGAUAACUACUGGAAACGGUGGCUAAUACCGCAUACUGUAGGAUAACCCAUAGGGGAUUAGCUAGUAGGUAAGGUAAUGGCUUAACUAGGCGACGAUCCCUAGCUGGUCUGAGAGGAUGAUCAGCCACACGUGGACUGUGACACGGCCCAGACUCCUACGGAGGCAGCAGUUGGGAAUAUUGCACAAUGGGCGCAAGCCUGAUGCAGCCAUGCCGCGUGUAUGAAGAAGGCCCUAGGGUUGUAAAGUACUUUCAGUCGGGAGGCGUUACCGACAGAAGAAGCACCGGCUAACUCCGUGCCAGCCGCCGCGGUAAUAC